rnacentral:lncRNA from 1 species
AGAAGUUCGUCACUGCAUGCUUUUGCAAAGAUGGAACAAACAAGAAGCAAAGCCAUUACCCACAAUGCAGCUUCAGGCCAUACUCAAGGGCUAACAACCUAAUUUCCCAUUUGAAAAACAUACAUGGAAUUCUUGGAGUCAAAAAAACCCACCAACAAACUCCCCAGCAGACCGGACCUCAGGCAGAAGACACCACCUCUGAGCCGACCGUUUACUGCCAGUACUGCAAGAAAGGGAAACCUCAGGAGACAUCUGACAGAAGUCCACUCUCUACCGAGCAAACCCAUUAUCUGUGUGGACAAACACAAUGGACUAUACGUGACCCCCAAAAAUGACACAGGUGGUGUGAUCCAUCCCAUCCAUGUUGCGAAAUCCACUGUAACAAAAAAUAAUUGACUGUGAAA